UACGUAGGUGACAAGCGUUGUCCGGAUUUACUGGGCGUAAAGAGCGCGCAGGCGGUCGUUCAAGUCGAGUGUGAAAGCCCCCGGCUCAACUGGGGAGGGUCAUUCGAUACUGUUUAACUUGAAGGCAGGAGAGGGUAGUGGAAUUCCCGGUGUAGUGGUGAAAUGCGUAGAUAUCGGGAGGAACACCAGUGGCGAAGGCGACUACCUGGCCUGUUCUUGACGCUGAGGCGCGAAAGCUGGGGGAGCAAACGGG
rnacentral:rRNA from 1 species